rnacentral:lncRNA from 1 species
UCCGAUCGGGACGGUGUAGCCGUCUCCUCCGGGCAGGAACUCCUCGCUUACGCGUCCAGAGGGGACCUUCGGCUUCGCACCUGCACAAAGGUCGAGCCGAGGCUCUCGGCCCGACCCCUCCGACGAUCAAGUUAGCGGAUUUGGAGGGGGUUUCAGAUGAAGAAGUGUUUUUGUGUGUCUGUCUCCCCCCCUCUUUCUAAUGAACGAGAGGGUAUUUAUAGGGAAGCAUACUGCUUCCCGAGCUGCCCGCUUGCAGGGGCAGGCUGGUAGCGUCUGACUUUGUGUUGGCGUGGCGUGAAGAAUUGAGCUUUGGCAUAAUGUUAAUGCGCCUCAGUCGGCAUUCCGGUCUGCAUUGACCAGGUGCUGUUGUGUGAGGCGUCAUCUGACGUCAGCCGAGUCUUAUCAUAAUUACUAUCCUCAUCAUAUUCCCCCCCGAAGGAAGUCAUGCCAUAAAAGGGGGGGGUCCGAGGCAUGGCUUCGACUUUGAGAAACUGUCCCAACCGGGCGCCUUGCCGGAGGUAUGAGAAUCGUGGAGUUUAGCAACUAAGAAGGGUCGGAUGUGCAGUGGUGACCCAGGUAGCGUGCAGUCGACGAGCACACUUAGUAGGGCAGGCUGACGCAUGGUAUGACCUCGGUGAGCAUGGAGCCGAGGAGGACGACGCAGGCGAGCUGGCCGCGCGCAUGGGGCCGAGGAGCCAAAGAGCCGAGGUAGGCGGGCUGGCCACGCGCAUGGGGCCGAGGAGCCGAGGCAGGCGGGCUGGCCGCACGCAUGGGGCCGAGGAGCCGAGGCAGGCGGGCUGGCCACGCGCAUGGGCCCGAGGAGCCGAAGAGCCGAGGUAGGCCGGCUGGCCACGCGCAUGGGGCCGAGGUGCCAAGGAGGCGUGGAGCUAAGGAGCCGAGGAAGGCGGGGAACUGAGGAGCCGAGGAGCUGAGGAGCCGAGGAGCCGUGGAGGCGUGGAGCUGAGGAGCCGAGGAGCCGAAGAGCCGAGGUAGGCGGGCUGGCCGCGCGCAUGGGGCCGAGGAGCCGAGGAGCAUGACGCAGGCGGGCUGGCCGCGCAGGUGUGUCUCAGGAAGCAUGGGGCCGAGGAGUACGACGCAAGCGGGCUGGCCGCGCAGGUGUCUCGGGACGCAUGGAGCCGAGGAGCACGACGCAGGCGAGCAGUCACCCGACAUUCCGGGUCCUUCCUCUAGCGCCAAUCUGUUGUGGGAAACAACUUUUAGCUGUGGCCUCGGGGCCGACGCGGCUCGGUUCGGGUCCGGACGACGGGGAUCUCCCUAGGGCGCUCCUCGAGCCCGCUGAGGCGGUCGGGUGCGGUGUCCGAUCGGGACGGUGUAGCCGUCUCCUCCGGGCAGGAACUCAUCGCCUACGCAUCCAGAGGGGACCUUCGGCUUCGUACAUGCACAAAGGUCGAGCCGAGGCUCUCGGCCCGACCCCUCUGACGAUCAAGUUAGCGGAUGUGGAGGGGGUUUCAAAUGAAGAAGUGUUUUUGUGUGUCUGUCUCCCCCCCCUCUUUCUAAUGAACGAGAGGGUAUUUAUAGGGAAGCAUACUGCUUCCUGAGCUGCCCGCUUGCA